UACGAAGGGGGCUAGCGUUGUUCGGAUUUACUGGGCGUAAAGCGCACGUAGGCGGAUUGGUCAGUUAGAGGUGAAAUCCCGAAGCUCAACUUCGGAACUGCCUUUAAUACUGCCAGUCUAGAGUCCGGAAGAGGUAAGUGGAACUCCUAGUGUAGAGGUGGAAUUCGUAGAUAUUAGGAAGAACACCAGUGGCGAAGGCGGCUUACUGGUCCGGUACUGACGGCUGAGGUGCGAAAGCGUGGGGAGCAACAGGAUUAGAAACCCUUGG
rnacentral:rRNA from 1 species